UUUAGUUUUUUUGGGCGUUUGGUGGAUGCCUUGGUGCCUGGAGCUGAUGAAGGACGUGGUGGCCUGCGAUAUUCCCUGGGGAGUUGGCGAGCGAGUGUUGAUCCGGGGGUUUCCGAAUGGGGUAACCUAGCCAGUUUUGUUGCUGGUUACUGCUGCCUGAAUUUAUAGGGUGGUGGGGGGAACGUGGGGAAGUGAAACAUCUUAGUACCUGCUGGAAGAGAUAUUCUGUGAGUAGUGGUGAGCGAAAGUGGAUGAUGGCUAAACUGCGUGCGUGUCAAGGCGGCAGCUGUUGCGUGCGUGGGGUUGUGGGGUGUGUUUUUCCAUUCUCUGCUGGGGGUGGGGGUUGUGAUAAAUGGUGGUGUGGAGCUGAACAGUCUGGGAUGGCUGACCAUAGGGCGUGAUAGUCGUGUAGGUGGUUCAUAUCACUCAACCUGAACACAUUUUUCCCGAGUAGCAGCGGGCUCGUGGAAUCUGCUGUGAAUCUGCCCAGACCACUGGGUAAGCCUGAAUACUACCGGGUGACCGAUAGCGUAUUUAGUACCGUGAGGGAAUGGUGAAAAGUACCCCGGGAGGGGAGUGAAAUAGUGCCUGAAACCAAACGCUUUUUAUCCGUCAGAGCCGGUCAACCAUUUUUUGGUGGUUGUGGUGAUGGCGUGCCUAUUGAAGAAUGAGCCUGCGAGUUAGUGAUGCGUGGCGAGGUUAACCCUUGUGGGGUAGUCGUAGCGAAAGCGAGUCUUAGUUGGGCGUUUAGUCGCGUGUUCUAGACCCGAAGCGGGGUGAUCUACCCAUGGCCAGGUUGAAGCGAUUGUAGAAGGUCGUGGAGGACCGUACCCACCUAGGUUGAAAACUGGGGGGAUGAGUUGUGGGUAGGGGUGAAAGGCUAAUCAAACUCCGUGAUAGCUGGUUCUCCCCGAAAUGCAUUUAGGUGCAGCGUUUCGCGUGUGUUGUUGUGGUGGUAGAGCUACUGGUUGGUUGAGGGGCCGUUUUGGUUACUGACGUCAGCUAAACUCCGAAUGCCAUUGACAAGUGCGGGGCAGUGAGACUGCGGGGGAUAAGCUUCGUAGUCGAGAGGGAAACAGCCCAGAUCAUCGGUUAAGGCCCCUAAGGGUGUGCUGAGUGGGGAAGGAUGUGGAGUUGCAUAGACAACCAGGAGGUUGGCUUAGAAGCAGCCAUCCUUGAAAGAGUGCGUAAUAGCUCACUGGUCGAGUGAUUCCGCGCCGAGAAUUUAGCGGGGCUUAAGUACACCGCCGAAACCAUGACAGAAUUUUUGUUCUGGGUAGGGGAGCGUCCCUAUUGGGGUGAAGCAGGCCUGUGAGGGUUUGUGGACUGGUGGGGAGUGAGAAUGCAGGCAUGAGUAGCGAUUAUGUGGGUGGGAAUCCCACGCGCCGAUUGACUAAGGGUUCCAGGGCUAGGUUUAUCCGCCCUGGGUUAGUCGGGUCCUAAGGCGAGGCCGACAGGCGUAGUCGAUGGAUGACCAGUUGAUAUUCUGGUACCGGUCUUUUCUCGUAAAGUGCUGACAAAGUUGUGCUAACCAAUGCUGCUCACACCUCUUGCUUUUCGAAGUGGGGGGCUUGUGGUGGUCUUGGGGUCCCGGCUUGGGUAGGCAAGCGUGUUAACAGGGGUGACGCAGUAGGGUAGCUGAUGCUGGCCGGUGGUUGUGCCAGUCUAAGGUUGUGGCCUGCAUGCUAGGUAAAUCCGGUGUGCUUCCUUAAAUGGUGAGGGUGAGGACUGAUGGGACUGCCCCCGUGGGGGUGGUUAUUGGUGUGCUUGUGCUGUCUAGAAAAGCCUCGACGUUAGAGGAAGAUCCGCCCGUACCCGAAACCGACACAGGUAGUUAGGUAGAGAAUACUAAGGCGUGCGAGUUAAUCAUGGUUAAGGAACUCGGCAAAAUGCCCCCGUAACUUUGGAAGAAGGGGGACCAAACCCGGACUUUUCUAUUUUCAUUGGUUUGUGUUUGGGUUUGGUCGCAGUGAUUUGGAAGAAGCGACUGUUUAUUAAAAACAUAGGUGUGUGCGAAGCCUUAUGGCGAUGUAUACGCACUGACGCCUGCCCGGUGCUGGAAGGUUAAGCAGACGACUUAACCCACUUUUUUGGUGGGUGAAGGUUUGAAGUUAAGCCCCAGUAAACGGCGGUGGUAACUAUAACCAUCCUAAGGUAGCGAAAUUCCUUGUCGGGUAAGUUCCGACCUGCACGAAUGGCGUAACGACUUCUUCGCUGUCUCGACCAUGAACUCGGUGAAAUUGCAGUACGAGUAAAGAUGCUCGUUUCGCGCAGCAGGACGGAAAGACCCCGGGACCUUUACUAUAGCUUGGUAUUGGUAAUCGGUUGUGUUUGUGUAGGAUAGGUGGGAGACUGUGAGGCCCUUGCGCUAGUGGGGGCGGAGUCGUUGUUGAAAUACCACUCUGAUAUAAGCGGUUAUCUAACCUUGGUCCGUGAUCCGGAUUGGGGACAGUGCCUGGUGGGUAGUUUAACUGGGGCGGUUGCCUCCUAAAUGGUAACGGAGGCGCUCAAAGGUCCUCUCAGCCUGGUUGGUAAUCAGGUGUUGAGUGUAAGUGUAGAAGAGGGCUUGACUGUGACACUGACGGGUGGAACAGGUAGGAAACUAGGAACUAGUGAUCCGGCCGUGGUGAGUGGAAACGCGGUCGCUCAACGGAUAAAAGGUACCCCGGGGAUAACAGGCUGAUCUUGCCCAAGAGUCCAUAUCGACGGCAUGGUUUGGCACCUCGAUGUCGGCUCGUCGCAUCCUGGGGCUGGAGUCGGUCCCAAGGGUUGGGCUGUUCGCCCAUUAAAGCGGUACGCGAGCUGGGUUUAGAACGUCGUGAGACAGUUCGGUCCCUAUCCGCUGCGCGCGUAGGAAACUUGAGAAGGCCUGUCCCUAGUACGAGAGGACCGGGACGGACGAACCUCUGGUGUGCCAGUUGUACUGCCAAGUGCAUGGCUGGUUAGCUACGUUCGGGAAGGAUAACCGCUGAAAGCAUCUAAGCGGGAAGCCUGCUUCAAGACCUGGUUUCCAUCCCACAAUCUUGUGGGGAGAGACUCCCAAUAGACGAUUGGGUAGAUAGGCCAGACGUGUAAACACGGUAACGUGGGAAGCUGACUGGUACUAAUAGUCAAUAACUAAAACA
rnacentral:rRNA from 1 species